rnacentral:tRNA from 1 species
GCCGGAUACCUCUAUUUUGUAGAUGCAAGAAAAUACCGUGAUACAGCCAUUUUUUACUAACUGCAUCACGGUUUUGUAAACCGAAGGCCGGGAGUUCGAAUCUCUCAUCCGGCACCA